CUGAGGUACAAUUCAUGUUGCCUGGAGGCAUGAUGCCACCAAUAUUUGUCCAAAACUAUUUUAGAAAACACAUUCAAUAUGUACUGAAUAAUGGUGAAAUAAGGCUUUGUUCUACACAGAAUGUGCAUAUUCACUUCAAAGACACCAGCCAUCCAUUCUAGGAAAUAAUAUUGUUAUAGUUUGUAUAUAUGUGGUUGCUUUGAUGUGGCCCUCAAUUUUUUUUUCAAUUUUAA